rnacentral:rRNA from 1 species
GAUGAGCGCUGGCGGCGUGCCUAAUACAUGCAAGUCGAGCGAACAGACGAGGAGCUUGCUCCUCUGACGUUAGCGGCGGACGGGUGAGUAACACGUGGAUAACCUACCUAUAAGACUGGGAUAACUUCGGGAAACCGGAGCUAAUACCGGAUAAUAUAUUGAACCGCAUGGUUCAAUAGUGAAAGACGGUUUUGCUGUCACUUAUAGAUGGAUCCGCGCCGCAUUAGCUAGUUGGUAAGGUAACGGCUUACCAAGGCAACGAUGCGUAGCCGACCUGAGAGGGUGAUAGGCCACACUGGAACUGAGACACGGUCCAGACUCCUACGGGAGGCAGCAGUAGGGAAUCUUCCGCAAUGGGCGAAAGCCUGACGGAGCAACGCCGCGUGAGUGAUGAAGGUCUUCGGAUCGUAAAACUCUGUUAUUAGGGAAGAACAAAUGUGUAAGUAACUAUGCACGUCUUGACGGUACCUAAUCAGAAAGCCACGGCUAACUACGUG